CUACUCAAUCAGCAUCAUCAAAGGUUUUGUCUUUUAAUUUUCUGUAUUUUCAUAAAGAGAAUUAAUACUUGUGCAGAUUCAAGCAUAAAUUGGACAAAAUGCUAACAAAUAUUCUGUGAAACUGCAUUAAGUGAUUGUUUUCCGUAGCCAGCUUCUGUGAUAAAAUCAAGUAAAAUUACAAUCACAAUUUCUCAUAUACAUCUCUGAUCAUGACCAUGGUAGAGCAUUUGUCUGUUUCAAGAUCCUUCACGAUGCUAUUACCAUAUUAUUCAACUUCCUCUGCAAUGAAGAGAAGAACAAUUCGUUGCGUUGACAGCUCAACUAGUACCAGUGAAAUUAAGCCAAACUCUAUCCCAGCUGCCACUCCUUUACAACUUAAUCUCAGUGCUGCAGAGUCUUCCAAGAAGAUCAAAGCUGUUGAGGAAAGGCUGGAAAGAUUUAAUUGGAAAUCAAAGCAGCUUGAUAAGAUUGUUGAAAUAUUCAGUGGAAGGUUGCUGGAAUGUGGUCUUGUUUUCGAGCAAAACUUCUUGAUCAGAUCAUCUGAGCUGGGCGCUGAUUCGAAAGCAUCUAUAGGAGCCUUAACUAAUAUUCUACAGGAAUCAGCACUGAACCACGUCAAAGGCGCUGGGAUUCUGGCUGAGGGUUUUGGUUCAACUCCAGAGAUGAGUAGAAGAAAUCUGAUAUGGGUGGUUUAUAGGAUGCAGAUUGUGGUUGAUAGCUAUCCUUCAUGGGGUGAUGUUAUUCAAGUAAACACUUGGACCUGUGCAUCGGGAAGGAAUGGCAUGCGCCGUGAAUGGAUUGUCCGUGAUUAUAAGACAGGGAAAACUCUGCUUCGAGCUGCCUGUGUGUAUGUGAUGAUGAAUAAGACGACAAGAAAAAUAUCAAAGUUCAUAAAGGAAAUCAGGGAGGAAACUAAAAACAUUUUCAUGGAGAUUACUGAGCCAAUAAUCAAUCAUGAGGAUGCCAAAAAACUAAGGGCAUUGGAUGUUGACACAGCAGAUAAUGUCCAAGCAGGUUUAUUGCCUAAAUGGAGCGAUCUAGACGUCAAUCAACAUGUGAAGCAUGUCAAAUACAUUGAAUGGAUUCUCGAGUUACUGAGAAACCAAAGCAACCAGAAAAUAUAGCUGAUAAUAUCUUCAGAGGAAGGUUGCUGCAGGGUUUGUUUUCCAGCAAAACUUCUCGAUUAGAUUAUCUGAGCUUGGUCAUGAUGCCAAAGCAUCCAUUGGGGCCUUGAUUCAUAUUUUACAGGAUUCUGCACUGAACCACUGCAAGAGCUCGGGGAUUAGGAUGGAGAAUUUCUGUUCAACACCAGAAAUGAGCAGAAGAAAUCUCAUGUGGGUUGUCUACAGGAUGCAGAUUGCAGUAGCUAGCUAUCCUUCAUGGGCUGAUGACAUUCAAAUAGACACUUGAAUGUGUGCAUCAGGAAAGAAUGGUAUGCGCCGUGAAUGGAUUGUUCGUGAUUACAAAACAGGGGAAACUCUGCUUCGAGCAGUCUGUGUGUAUGUGAUGAUGAAUAAGAAGACUAGAAAACUGUCCAAGUUCAUAGAGGAAAUCAGGGAGGAAAUGCAGGGCAUCUUUAUGGACAUUACUGAUCCAAUCAUUGGUGACGAGUAUGGCAAAAAUUUAAGGGAAUUGGAUGCUGACACAGCAGAUAUUGUCCGAACAGGUUUAGUGCCUACAUGGAGUGAUCUGGAUUUCAAUCAACAUGUGAACCAUGUCAAAUAUAUUAACUGGAUUCUUGAGAGUGCUCCUGAUUCGAUAUUAGAAACUCACAAGCUCUCGGCUAUGACGUUGGAGUUCUGGAAGGAAUGUGGGAUGAAUAGUUGCCUUCAGUCUUUAUCUGCACUUGCCACAAAAGAUGAGCUUCCUCAUCGCUCUACGCAAAAUUAUAAAGGGGUUGAGCUGGAGUUGGACCACACCAUUCGUCUUGAAAAUCAACCUCAGAUAUUAUUGAAGGGGAGGACAAUUUGGCUGCCCAAAACUUUUUAGAUGCUGGCAAUUUUCAAUUGUCUGACUGCUACCUAGUUAGCUUAUACUUGAAUUCCUUAUGUAUUUUGAUUAUAUACAUGUACCUGCUACAUGAAGGAUCAAUAUUGACCUAGAAGUUUCUAGAAUUAACUAGUAUAUUUGAUAUACUUGGUUGGAAGUAGAGCAUUGGAAUUUGAAAAAAAAAAAAUCUAAAAUUGAGGAUGAGAGCAAGGACAUAGUGGAGAAGUCUAGAAGCUUUGAGUAGGCCAAAGCAACCGACUUUGUCAAGUAUAAAAGGAAGCUUUGGCUUCCCUGCUUGGUGAGCUACACAAGUGAGCUCCAAGGAGGCUCUCGGUUGGUGUGAGUGAAAGAGCUACUCAAUUGAGAAGAGUAGGCUCCUAGAGAGAGAAAGAGAGAGAGAGAGAGCUCUCAUGUUAUAGUUAGUAAAUAAUGUUAGGUGUUUAUGUGUUGGUGUCUAAAAGGUUAUCAUGUGUGUGGGUCCUGCUGCAUAUAUGAGUAUUCUAUAGUGUGUUUAUGUAUUUGUUUUUUUUAAAAUUAUUAAUAUAAGAGAAUUGAUUUAUUUUCUCCCCCAACAAUUUGGUAUCAGAGCGGGGUAAGAGUCAAUGGGAUAAUAGUUUAAAGGGUUUAGUAAGUUUUGGUGUCUUGCUUGGUAUAAAAGAGUGGUAUGUAAGAGUUUGUUAGGGAUCAAGGCAUGAGCAUUGGUGACCACAAUAUUGGAGGGAACGGUCAAAGACCAUAUGGUGAACGGUUAGAGACCACAAGUGCCAGAGGAUGGUCAAGGACCAUGAAGUUGUGAGGCAAUCAGGGAUCGCGGUGAUGCAUGGAGGCAGUCUAGGACUGCGGUGGCAAGAGGUGGUCAAGAAUCGUUGUUGGUGGAGCUUCGUAUGAUCGUGCACAAUCUGGGAUUGUGGAGCUUGCUGUUUAGGACCAAGCUUGUUUGGUGCGUGAGCGGACCACCAAACCACGAUGAAUGACCUUCAAAAAGAUAGAAGGUAUGUGGAAGCUCAAUAGCAUAGAUUACAAUAUAUGUGGUCGUUGCAGGGAUAGAAUUUCUGGGAGAUCGUUGGAGGUGACAAGAUUAUGUCGCUGGUGAAUGUCGUUGCUUUGAUGAAGUGGGAGAUCAAAGCUAGUAAGGCAUGAUGGUAAUUAAGACUACCAUCGAGGAGAUAAUUUGGGAGCCUACUGGAGAUGCCAAGACACCAAAGGAAGAAUGUGAUAAUUUUUCAGCACUCAAGAAGAAAAGAAAGAAUGGGAAGUCAAUAUUGAGGGGGAGAAUUGAAGGAUCAAUAUUGACCUAGAAGUUUCUAGAAUUAACUAGUAUAUUUGAUAUACUUGGUUGGAAGUAGAGCAUUGGAAUUUGAAAAAAAAAAAAUCUAAAAUUGAGGAUGAGAGCAAGGACAUAGUGGAGAAGUCUAGAAGCUUUGAGUAGGCCAAAGCAACCGACUUUGUCAAGUAUAAAAAGAAGCUUUGGCUUCCCUGCUUGGUGAGCUACACAAGUGAGCUCCAAGGAGGCUCUCGGUUGGUGUGAGUGAAAGAGCUACUCAAUUGAGAAGAGUAGGCUCCUAGAGAGAGAAAGAGAGAGAGAGAGAGCUCUCAUGUUAUAGUUAGUAAAUAAUGUUAGGUGUUUAUGUGUUGGUGUCUAAAAGGUUAUCAUGUAUGUGGGUCCUGCUGCAUAUAUGAGUAUUCUAUAGUGUGUUUAUGUAUUUGUUUUUUUUAAAUUAUUAAUAUAAGAGAAUUGAUUUAUUUUCUCCCCCAACACUGCAGAGGCAUAUGCAUAUAAUGAUUAAAUAAAACAAUUGGCAUGUUAAACAA